rnacentral:rRNA from 1 species
AACGGCCUACCAAGGCUAUGACGGGUAGCUGGUCUGAGAGGACGACCAGCCACACUGGGACUGAAACACGGCCCAGACUCCUACGGGGGGCAGCAGUGGGGAAUCUUGCGCAAUGGGCGAAAGCCUGACGCAGCGACGCCGCGUGGGCGAUGAAGGCCUUCGGGUCGUAAAGCCCUGUCGGAGGGGAAGAAACCUUACGGGCGAAUACCCCGUAAGCUGACGGUACCCUCAAAGGAAGCACCGGCUAACUCCGUGCCAGCAGCCGCGGUAAAACGGAGGGUGCAAGCGUUGCUCGGAAUUACUGGGCGUAAAGCGCACGUAGGCGGGAAGGUAAGUCGGUGGUGAAAGCCCUUGGCUCAACCAAGGAAUUGCUUUCGAUACUGCCUUUCUUGAGUGCGGGAGAGGAGAGCGGAAUUCCCGGUGUAGGGGUGAAAUCCGUAGAUAUCGGGAAGAACACCCGUGGCGAAGGCGGCUCUCUGGAACGCAACUGACGCUGAGGUGCGAAAGCGUGGGGAGCAAACAGGAUUAGAUACC